AGCCAGCCACUCCUGAAGCUUCUCAGACGCAUAAAGGAAAACCAGAGGUGAAGCAAACACUAAGUCAAGCUUCAGAUGAUCUGCUGGUACCCAGCCCUGGGAACCGCCAGUCUACUUUUGUUCCCUGGGAAAAAGCUGGGAAAGAGGAGACGAAGCCUUCAAAAGAUGUUGGACUUCUCCAAGAAGUAGUGUCAUUGUGUCACAUGUCAUGUGACUUCCAACAAGGUUUAAACAUUUCAGAAGAAAGCAAA
rnacentral:lncRNA from 1 species